CUACAUGAAGCUGGAAUUGCUAGUAAUCAUAGGUCAGCAUACUAUGGUGAAUACGUUCCCGGGCCUUGUACACACCGCCCGUCACACCAUGAGAGUUGAGAAUACCCGAAGUCCAUGUCAAAGUGGCCGAAGGUAGGCUUGAUGAUUGGGGUGAAGUCGUAACAAGGUAAC
rnacentral:rRNA from 1 species